AGUGAACGCUGGCGGUAGGCCUAACACAUGCAAGUCGAACGGCAGCACAGUAAGAGCUUGCUCUUACGGGUGGCGAGUGGCGGACGGGUGAGGAAUACAUCGGAAUCUACUUUUUCGUGGGGGGUAACGUAGGGAAACUUACGCUAAUACCGCAUACGACCUACGGGUGAAAGCAGGGGAUCUUCGGACCUUGCGCGAUUGAAUGAGCCGAUGUCGGAUUAGGUAGUUGGCGGGGUAAAGGCCCACCAAGGCGACGAUCCGUAGCUGGUCUGAGAGGAUGAUCAGCCACACUGGAACUGAGACACGGUCCAGACUCCUACGGGAGGCAGCAGUGGGGAAUAUUGGACAAUGGGCGCAAGCCUGAUCCAGCCAUACCGCGUGGGUGAAGAAGGCCUUCGGGUUGUAAAGCCCUUUUGUUGGGAAAGAAAAGCAGCAGGUUAAUACCCCGCUGUUCUGACGGUACCCAAAGAAUAAGCACCGGCUAACUUCGUG
rnacentral:rRNA from 1 species